UACAACCAGCAAAAGCUGAGUCCAAAGAUAACAAAGAGAUUGCAACCAUUUUAAAUGAAAUGAUUCAAUCUGACAACAGCUCUAGUGAUGGCAAACCUCUAGAUUCAGGGCUUGUGCAUAACAAUGACAGACUGUCAGAUGGAGACAGUAAAUACUCUCAAACCAGUCACAAACUAGUGCAGCUUUUGACAACAACUGCCAAACAGCAGUUACGACAUGCUGAUAUAGACACAAGUUGCAAAGAUGUGCUGUCUUGCACAGGCACUUCCAACUCUGCCUCUGCUAACUCUUCAGGGGGUUCUUGCCCCUCAUCCCAUAGCUCACUGACAGAGAGGCACAAAAUUCUGCACCGAUUCUUACAGGAGGGUAGCCCCUCAGAUAUCACCACUUUGUCUGUUGAGCCUGAUAAAAAGGACAGUGCAUCUACUUCUGUGUCAGUAACUGGACAGGCACAAGGCAACUCCAGUAUAAAACUAGAACUGGAUUCUUCAAAGAAAAAAGAAUCAAAGGACCAUCAGCUCCUACGCUACCUUUUAGAUAAAGAUGAGAAAGAUUUAAGAUCAACUCCAAACCUGAGCCUGGAUGAUGUAAAGGUGAAAGUGGAAAAGAAAGAGCAGAUGGAUCCUUGUAACACAAACCCAAACCCAAUGACCAAACCUGCUCCUGAGGAAAUUAAACUGGAGUCCCAGAGCCAGUUUACAGCUGACCUUGACCAGUUUGAGCAGUUACUGCCCACGCUGGAGAAGGCAGCACAGUUGCCAGGCUUAUGUGAGACAGACAGGAUGGAUGGUGCGGUCACCAAUGUAGCCAUCAAAUCGGAGAUCCUGCCAGCUUCACUACAGUCCACCACUGCCAGACCCACUUCCAGGCUAAAUAGUUAG